rnacentral:rRNA from 1 species
GAUGAACGCUGGCGGCGUGCCUCAAACAUGCAAGUCGAGCGGGGCUAUGUAAUAUCGCAAGGUAGAACAUAGCCUAGCGGCGAACGGGUGAGUAACACGUGGGUAACCUGCCUGGAAGACAGGGAUAACGAUUCGAAAGGGUCGCUAAUACCUGAUAAUAUCCUUUCAUCGCAUGGUGAUAGGAAGAAAGGGGAAACCCGCUUUCAGAUGGGCCCGCGUCCCAUCAGCUAGUUGGUAAGGUAAAGGCUUACCAAGGCGACGACGGGUAGCCGGUCUGAGAGGAUGUACGGCCACACUGGGACUGAGAUACGGCCCAGACUCCUACGGGAGGCAGCAGUUGGGAAUCUUAGGCAAUGGACGAAAGUCUGACCUAGCGACGCCGCGUGAGGGAAGAAGGCCUUCGGGUUGUAACUCUGUCAUGGGGAAGGAAGUAAGUGACGGUACCCAACGAGGAAGCCCCUGCUAACUACGUGCUAGCAGCCGCGGUAAAGAAGUAGUACA